rnacentral:lncRNA from 1 species
CGCCGCCGCGGUUGCCGCCGUCGCACGGACCCGCCGACGAGCUCGCGUGCUGGCCGGGGAGGUGGCUCGGCUGCGCGCCGCCACUGUUCAUCGAUCUGGACCUCCUCCUCAGGAUCAUCUCUUGCACCUUCGAUCUCAGGAACAUUUCAAGAACCGAACCAAUUCAAACAAUUCUCUCUCUGCAAAAAAUGGCAGCAUAAAGCAAACGUCAAAUCACUGUGCCUUAAAAUUCUUGCACCAAGAACUGAUCAGGCUGCAGAAACAGAAGAGAAUUCCACUGCUCAGCUCAGCUCAGCUCAGCUCAAUACCUUCUUCUCCAAACUGUGACAGCAACAAGCAGCAGCUAGCAAAGAACAGGCAGAUCUUGCAGCUCCGUGGACGAUCGACGCAGGCAGGCCGCGAGUUUAAGCACGGAGCACGAGGCCAGCCAAACGGCCAAAGCCUCAGAAGUGUACUCAGACGCAACACCAAGCUCAGGAGGACAAGCAAAAUGGGACCUUGCAGCUCUGCAAGCUACAAAGGAGUUGGCAAGAUCCUCAAGCUAUCUAUCAUCGAUUCAUCGCCUUCUUGUCGUAAUUGUGUGCCUUGCUCGCCGCACUCACCCCACCAAAGGGAAGAACAGCUCAAUCACUCACUCACCCACAGUCUCGAGUGACAUGUAGAAGAAGAAGAGGAAGAAGAAGACGAGAGAGAGGUUGGUGAUAGCAGCACAGCACAAUGGGGGAGGUUGGGAGGGUGGCGAUCUUAAAGAAGACCCUCUCUUCUCUUCCUCGCUGUGAAUGUGAUGUCAGCGUUGGUUUGUGUGUGCUUGCAUCCAAAGGGCA